UAACAGAGGGGGCGAAGCAGUUGUUCGGGUGAUUACUGGGCGUAAAGGGCGCGUAGGCGGCCUGCUAAGUCGAACGUGAAAUCCCCGGGCUCAACCCGGGAACUGCGUCCGAUACUGGCAGGCUUGAAUUCGGGAGAGGGAUGCGGAAUUCCAGGUGUAGCGGUGAAAUGCGUAGAUAUCUGGAGGAACACCGGUGGCGAAGGUGGCAUCCUGGACCGAAAUUGACGCUGAGGCGCGAAAGCCAGGGGAGCAAACGGG
rnacentral:rRNA from 1 species